rnacentral:rRNA from 1 species
AGAUUGAACGCUGGCGGCAUGCCUUACACAUGCAAGUCGAACGGCAGCACGGGAGCAAUCCUGGUGGCGAGUGGCGAACGGGUGAGUAAUACAUCGGAACGUGCCCAAUCGUGGGGGAUAACGCAGCGAAAGCUGUGCUAAUACCGCAUAAGAUCUACGGAUGAAAGCAGGGGAUCGCAAGACCUUGCGCGAAUGGAGCGGCCGAUGGCAGAUUAGGUAGUUGGUGAGGUAAAGGCUCACCAAGCCUUCGAUCUGUAGCUGGUCUGAGAGGACGACCAGCCACACUGGGACUGAGACACGGCCCAGACUCCGUACGGGAGCAGCAGGUGGGGUAUUUGGACAGUGGGACGUAAAGCC